CCCUGAGCUACAUCAUCUGUCAGCAGGAGCAAUAGCCGGAAUAGUAAUAGCAGUCAUAGUCGGAGCGGGUGCGAUUACUGGCUUAAUCUACUACAUCGUAACAAAGACAGGUGUAACAAGGGGCAGUGGCAGCAGCGGUCUAAAUGAGAUGAAUUCAAAACCGACUUACAACACCGGUGAUAAAGGUGCAGAAAAUCAGUUCGUUCAAGAAGAACCUCAGUAUUCUUCACCAACGUUCAAGCCAUCAUCUCCUACGUCUGCGGACACCACUAUAAAUAGCAGUACUGACAAAACAGUAUAUGCACUAGUUAAUGCUCCAAAAAGAUAAUUACUCUAAGCUUAGAAGCAUUACAGGCUGUUUAUUGUAAUUGGAUCACGAAUCGUUUGACAGAAAGCAUUUCUGAACAUGGUUUCAUUCAAGUCAUAUUUAAAUAAUAUCAAGCAGAUUGUAUAAGGCUAAGGGAUAUUUAACUGAUUCAAUAUUACUGCAAAGUUUUAGAAUCAUUUCCUAUGGAACAUUUGUCUGUUUUACAUUUUUUUGGUACAAUCUGCAUUCUACUCCAGUUCACGUGGUACUAAAGCUUUAGUUCGAUUUUGUAAUUAAUCAACCUCUCUGUUCCAGAAAGGCACACUGUGCACAAUUAGCAAUAUCUGUAAGUUUGUUUGCAAAUGGAAGAGAAAUCAUGAAUAUACAGAUUGUCAAGAUGACAGCUGAUUUAAGAACUGCAGGUAAUGAGAAAAUAAAUUCAACAGCAGGAA